CCUACGGGAGGCUGCAGUGAGGAAUAUUGGUCAAUGGACGAGAGUCUGAACCAGCCAAGUAGCGUGAAGGAUGACUGCCCUAUGGGUUGUAAACUUCUUUUAUAUGGGAAUAAAACGUUCCACGUGUGGGAUUUUGUAUGUACCAUAUGAAUAAGGAUCGGCUAACUCCGUUCCAGCAGCCGCGGUAAUACGGAGGAUCCGAGCGUUAUCCGGAUUUAUUGGGUUUAAAGGGAGCGUAGGUGGAUUGUUAAGUCAGUUGUGAAAGUUUGCGGCUCAACCGUAAAAUUGCAGUUGAAACUGGCAGUCUUGAGUACAGUAGAGGUGGGCGGAAUUCGUGGUGUAGCGGUGAAAUGCUUAGAUAUCACGAAGAACUCCGAUUGCGAAGGCAGUUCACUGGACUGCAACUGACACUGAGGCUCGAAAGUGUGGGUAUCAAACAGGAUUAGAUACCCCUGUAGUC
rnacentral:rRNA from 1 species